CAGAUGCCCAGAAUGGUAAAAUUGCAAUCUGAAUUUCUUAUGUUUGUCUUAAAGGUAUAUUAGUGGAGACAGGAGAACCUUUGAUGAUAUUUGUUCCAUUAAAGGAAAAUAAACCUGCUUCCAUGUCAUUUUUCCUGCCACCUGGAGUGAAUGUUCCUGAACCGUCAGACAACGUUUUCCUACAAACAUUUGCUGAAAUGUUGUUAUAUGUUAG